UACGAAGGGGGCUACCGUUGCUCGGAAUCACUGGGCGUAAAGCGCACGUAGGCGGAUCUUUAAGUCAGGGGUGAAAUCCUGGAGCUCAACUCCAGAACUGCCUUUGAUACUGGGGAUCUCGAGUCCGGGAGAGGUGAGUGGAACUCCGAGUGUAGAGGUGAAAUUCGUAGAUAUUCGGAAGAACACCAGUGGCGAAGGCGGCUCACUGGCCCGGUACUGACGCUGAGGUGCGAAAGCGUGGGGAGCAAACAGG
rnacentral:rRNA from 1 species